rnacentral:rRNA from 1 species
CGUCAACCCUUGUCCUUAGUUACCAGCACGUUAUGUGGGCACUCUAAGGAGACUGCCGGUGGCAAACCGGAGGAAGGUGGGGAUGACGUCAAGUCAUCAUGGCCCUUACGGCCUGGGCUACACACGUGCUACAAUGGUCGGUACAAAGGGUUGCCAAGCCGCGAGGUGGAGCUAAUCCCAUAAAACCGAUCGUAGUCCGGAUCGCAGUCUGCAACUCGACUGCGUGAAGUCGGAAUCGCUAGUAAUCGUGAAUCAGAAUGUCACGGUGAAUACGUUCCCGGGCCUU